UCCCGCUUAGCUCAGUGGUAGAGCGCUUCACUAGUAACUCAGCUUCGAGUCUAUGAAGAGGUCAGUUGUUCAAGUCAGCUAGUGGGAA